GCAGAAAAAGUGGCGUUGGGUGUGGAGGUGAAAUCUGUGAGGUGACCGCAGAACCAAGCAAUCCUGUAGGGAUCUAUGUUCCAAGGAAGGUGCUUCCACAUUCCACAUUCCACAGAGCGCAGUCUCCACAGGAUGAGCUUACUGUAAUAACAAUUAUGAACAGUAGCUGGGAGUGAACUCUACGAAGGACAGUAAACGGGCAACACAAAUGGGAGAAUUUACAUCCCAAGACCCAGAUUUAAGACCUAGAAGAGAACUUGGACACAGAGAGUAGAGACUAUGUACAGAGAAAGAAAAAAAAAAUCUCAUCAGUGCUCUGAUUGCUGAAAACCUCUUAGCCCUGAGCUGAAUAAAUGAAAACAAGUCUACAUCUAGGUAUAGUGGAGUGAGUUUUUCAGAACUUCAUUAAGAAAAAGAAAUUCUUAAAGGCCGGCGAAGUAGAUGAUGGAUUGGAGAGAGGAACAAGGAGGGUAGCUGGUUGCCGUCCAAGGACAAUUGCUGAUAGGUCAGCAACCAGAGCAUUUCCACAGCACACGACUUGGCCGUCGUACACAGUCUUGGCCUGGGACAAUGAGGAGAUGAUCAUGAUAACAAUAUGUGGCAGAUAGAAGGACCAGGCAGCUGGGAACUGUGGACCUGCACAACCGACCUGCGAAUGUGCACACAGGCCCUUCACUGAGUCAGCUGAUUCACUCCUCCCUCAUGCUUUCAGUUUAUGUAACUGGCUGCUGAAACAUCCAAGGUAAUACCCACUGCAAGCACAUUCUCCCAGGUACAACUGGAGUUCAACAUAAGGGUCAAAUGGAUUCCUCCCCGGUCCCUCCUUCCCUCCCUCCACCCCCGCCUCUCUCUCCAUCACCC
rnacentral:lncRNA from 1 species